rnacentral:rRNA from 1 species
AGCGGCGGACGGGUGAGUAAUGCUUAGGAAUCUGCCAUUUAGUGGGGGACAACAUUCCGAAAGGGAUGCUAAUACCGCAUACGUCCUACGGGAGAAAGCAGGGGAUCUUCGGACCUUGCGCUAAAUGAUGAGCCUAAGUCGGAUUAGCUAGUUGGUGGGGUAAAGGCCUACCAAGGCGACGAUCUGUAGCGGGUCUGAGAGGAUGAUCCGCCACACUGGGACUGAGACACGGCCCAGACUCCUACGGGAGGCAGCAGUGGGGAAUAUUGGACAAUGGGCGGAAGCCUGAUCCAGCCAUGCCGCGUGUGUGAAGAAGGCCUUUUGGUUGUAAAGCACUUUAAGCGAGGAGGAGGCUACCUAGAUUAAUACUCUGGGAUAGUGGACGUUACUCGCAGAAUAAGCACCGGCUAACUCUGUGCCAGCAGCCGCGGUAAUACAGAGGGUGCGAGCGUUAAUCGGAUUUACUGGGCGUAAAGCGUGCGUAGGCGGCUGAUUAAGUCGGAUGUGAAAUCCCUGAGCUUAACUUAGGAAUUGCAUUCGAUACUGGUCAGCUAGAGUAUGGGAGAGGAUGGUAGAAUUCCAGGUGUAGCGGUGAAAUGCGUAGAGAUCUGGAGGAAUACCGAUGGCGAAGGCAGCCAUCUGGCCUAAUACUGACGCUGAGGUACGAAAGCAUGGGGAGCAAACAGGAUUAGAUACCCUGGUAGUCCAUGCCGUANACGAUGUCUACUAGC